rnacentral:rRNA from 1 species
UAUUGGACAAUGGGGGGAACCCUGAUCCAGCGACGCCGCGUGAGUGAAGAAGUAUCUCGGUAUGUAAAGCUCUAUCAGCAGGGAAGAAAGAAAUGACGGUACCUGAGUAAGAAGCCCCGGCUAACUAAGUGCCAGCAGCCGCGGUAAUACGUAGGGGGCAAGCGUUAUCCGGAAUUACUGGGUGUAAAGGGAGCGUAGGCGGUUCAGCAAGUCAGAAGUGAAAGCCCGGGGCUCAACUCCGGGACUGCUUUUGAAACUGUUGAACUAGAUUGCAGGAGAGGUAAGUGGAAUUCCUAGUGUAGCGGUGAAAUGCGUAGAUAUUAGGAGGAACACCAGUGGCGAAGGCGGCUUACUGGACUGUAAAUGACGCCGAGGCUCGAAAGCGUGGGGAGCAAACAGG